UCAACAUUUCAAAUCGUAUAAAAAGGAAAUUCAUGGAUGUUUUUCAGGACAGCACUACUUCGCAGAUGGCUUAGCUGCCUUGUAUAGUUCAGUUGAUCUAAAUUCAGAUUUUUAUUGUUCUCUGUAUUUUUCAGGUCUUCAUGGAGUUCAGCAGGAUUGUGGGCAAGAACCUCAAGACGGAAUUCUAUGAGAGCAUCGACCGGCACAGUCCUCGUCUCCUCGAGUUAUUUGGAUCCAAGAGAGGGAAUGUUGGACAGACCAAUACUACAGAGCCAACUGAGUGUCAGAGGGCUUCCUAUCAUCCUGGGGACAACCCCACAGACUUCUUCAAAGGAGGCUUUGAAUCUGACGAUGAGGAUUCUUUUUGUGACCCAGACAUUGGGAUACUUCUUAUUGAGCGUGAAGGUGCUGUG
ensembl:lncRNA